GACGAACGCUGGCGGCGUGCCUAAUACAUGCAAGUCGAACGAACUCUGGUAUUGAUUGGUGCUUGCAUCAUGAUUUACAUUUGAGUGAGUGGCGAACUGGUGAGUAACACGUGGGAAACCUGCCCAGAAGCGGGGGAUAACACCUGGAAACAGAUGCUAAUACCGCAUAACAACUUGGACCGCAUGGUCCGAGUUUGAAAGGUGGCUUCGGCUAACACUUUUGGAUGGUCCCGCGGCGUAUUAGCUAGAUGGUGGGGUAACGGCUCACCAUGGCAAUGAUACGUAGCCGACCUGAGAGGGUAAUCGGCCACAUUGGGACUGAGACACGGCCCAAACUCCUACGGGAGGCAGCAGUAGGGAAUCUUCCACAAUGGACGAAAGUCUGAUGGAGCAACGCCGCGUGAGUGAAGAAGGGUUUCGGCUCGUAAAACUCUGUUGUUAAAGAAGAACAUAUCUGAGAGUAACUGUUCAGGUAUUGACGGUAUUUAACCAGAAAGCCACGGCUAACUACGUGCCAGCAGCCGCGGUAAUACGUAGGUGGCAAGCGUUGUCCGGAUUUAUUGGGCGUAAAGCGAGCGCAGGCGGUUUUUUAAGUCUGAUGUGAAAGCCUUCGGCUCAACCGAAGAAGUGCAUCGGAAACUGGGAAACUUGAGUGCAGAAGAGGACAGUGGAACUCCAUGUGUAGCGGUGAAAUGCGUAGAUAUAUGGAAGAACACCAGUGGCGAAGGCGGCUGUCUGGUCUGUAACUGACGCUGAGGCUCGAAAGUAUGGGUAGCAAACAGGAUUAGAUACCCUGGUAGUCCAUACCGUAAACGAUGAAUGCUAAGUGUUGGAGGGUUUCCGCCCUUCAGUGCUGCAGCUAACGCAUUAAGCAUUCCGCCUGGGGAGUACGGCCGCAAGGCUGAAACUCAAAGGAAUUGACGGGGGCCCGCACAAGCGGUGGAGCAUGUGGUUUAAUUCGAAGCUACGCGAAGAACCUUACCAGGUCUUGACAUACUAUGCAAAUCUAAGAGAUUAGACGUUCCCUUCGGGGACAUGGAUACAGGUGGUGCAUGGUUGUCGUCAGCUCGUGUCGUGAGAUGUUGGGUUAAGUCCCGCAACGAGCGCAACCCUUAUUAUCAGUUGCCAGCAUUAAGUUGGGCACUCUGGUGAGACUGCCGGUGACAAACCGGAGGAAGGUGGGGAUGACGUCAAAUCAUCAUGCCCCUUAUGACCUGGGCUACACACGUGCUACAAUGGAUGGUACAACGAGUUGCGAACUCGCGAGAGUAAGCUAAUCUCUUAAAGCCAUUCUCAGUUCGGAUUGUAGGCUGCAACUCGCCUACAUGAAGUCGGAAUCGCUAGUAAUCGCGGAUCAGCAUGCCGCGGUGAAUACGUUCCCGGGCCUUGUACACACCGCCCGUCACACCAUGAGAGUUUGUAACACCCAAAGUCGGUGGGGUAACCUUUUAGGAACCAGCCGCCUAAGGUGGGACAGAUGAUUAGGGUG
rnacentral:rRNA from 1 species